CAGAUGUCUAAAGUAGAGAACAUGUCGUUAGCCUUACUGAUGAGUCCAGGCGUGCUCUCGGGACGAAACAUCUU
rnacentral:hammerhead_ribozyme from 12 species